AGGCAAGAAGAAAAGGGUGAACACUCAUUACGUCUACAGUAUCAGGGAUGUACAAAAGGCUCUGGCCAAAGGAAGACGUCGAUUUGCACACAGGAAAGAAAAUUCCACAGAACUGCCCAAGCCUAAACAGGAACACAAGAUCUUGCCAAAAGGUAACCCACCAGUCUUUGGACAUGGAGACUUCAACCAGACUUUUAGAAUCAUCAACGGCAAAGUAGUCGUUCAGAAACUCAGGCGUGACCUGGAAAAGCCAUAACCACCCGACACCUCCAUACAGCCCAUACC